rnacentral:rRNA from 1 species
UACAGAGGGUGCAAGCGUUAAUCGGAAUUACUGGGCGUAAAGGGUGCGUAGGUGGUUUAAUAAGUUGGUUGUGAAAUCCCUGGGCUUAACCUAGGAAUUGCAGUCAAAACUGUUAGGCUAGAGUAGAAUAGAGGGUGGUAGAAUUUCCGGUGUAGCGGUGAAAUGCGUAGAUAUCGGAAGGAACACCAGUGGCGAAGGCGACUACCUGGAUUCAUACUGACACUGAGGCACGAAAGCGUGGGGAGCAAACAGG